AUCCGGCUGACGAGUCUUAAAUAGGGCAAAAUGCGCAUCCUGGAU
rnacentral:hammerhead_ribozyme from 1 species